CGGACGGGUGAGUAAUGUCUGGGAAACUGCCUGAUGGAGGGGGAUAACUACUGGAAACGGUAGCUAAUACCGCAUAACGUCUUCGGACCAAAGUGGGGGACCUUCGGGCCUCACGCCAUCGGAUGUGCCCAGAUGGGAUUAGCUAGUAGGUGGGGUAAUGGCUCACCUAGGCGACGAUCCCUAGCUGGUCUGAGAGGAUGACCAGCCACACCGGAACUGAGACACGGUCCAG
rnacentral:rRNA from 1 species